rnacentral:rRNA from 1 species
GGGUUGUGAGGUUAAGCGACUAAGCGUACACGGUGGAUGCCCUGGCAGUCAGAGGCGAUGAAGGACGUGCUAAUCUGCGAUAAGCGUCGGUAAGGUGAUAUGAACCGUUAUAACCGGCGAUUUCCGAAUGGGGAAACCCAGUGUGAUUCGUCACACUAUCAUUAACUGAAUCCAUAGGUUAAUGAGGCGAACCGGGGGAACUGAAACAUCUAAGUACCCCGAGGAAAAGAAAUCAACCGAGAUUCCCCCAGUAGCGGCGAGCGAACGGGGAGCAGCCCAGAGCCUGAAUCAGUGUGUGUGUUAGUGGAAGCGUCUGGAAAGGCGCGCGAUACAGGGUGACAGCCCCGUACACAAAAAUGCACAUACUGUGAGCUCGAUGAGUAGGGCGGGACACGUGGUAUCCUGUCUGAAUAUGGGGGGACCAUCCUCCAAGGCUAAAUACUCCUGACUGACCGAUAGUGAACCAGUACCGUGAGGGAAAGGCGAAAAGAACCCCGGCGAGGGGAGUGAAAAAGAACCUGAAACCGUGUACGUACAAGCAGUGGGAGCCUCUUUAUGGGGUGACUGCGUACCUUUUGUAUAAUGGGUCAGCGACUUAUAUUCUGUAGCAAGGUUAACCGAAUAGGGGAGCCGAAGGGAAACCGAGUCUUAACUGGGCGUUAAGUUGCAGGGUAUAGACCCGAAACCCGGUGAUCUAGCCAUGGGCAGGUUGAAGGUUGGGUAACACUAACUGGAGGACCGAACCGACUAAUGUUGAAAAAUUAGCGGAUGACUUGUGGCUGGGGGUGAAAGGCCAAUCAAACCGGGAGAUAGCUGGUUCUCCCCGAAAGCUAUUUAGGUAGCGCCUCGUGAAUUCAUCUCCGGGGGUAGAGCACUGUUUCGGCAAGGGGGUCAUCCCGACUUACCAACCCGAUGCAAACUGCGAAUACCGGAGAAUGUUAUCACGGGAGACACACGGCGGGUGCUAACGUCCGUCGUGAAGAGGGAAACAACCCAGACCGCCAGCUAAGGUCCCAAAGUCAUGGUUAAGUGGGAAACGAUGUGGGAAGGCCCAGACAGCCAGGAUGUUGGCUUAGAAGCAGCCAUCAUUUAAAGAAAGCGUAAUAGCUCACUGGUCGAGUCGGCCUGCGCGGAAGAUGUAACGGGGCUAAACCAUGCACCGAAGCUGCGGCAGCGACACUAUGUGUUGUUGGGUAGGGGAGCGUUCUGUAAGCCUGUGAAGGUGUACUGUGAGGUAUGCUGGAGGUAUCAGAAGUGCGAAUGCUGACAUAAGUAACGAUAAAGCGGGUGAAAAGCCCGCUCGCCGGAAGACCAAGGGUUCCUGUCCAACGUUAAUCGGGGCAGGGUGAGUCGACCCCUAAGGCGAGGCCGAAAGGCGUAGUCGAUGGGAAACAGGUUAAUAUUCCUGUACUUGGUGUUACUGCGAAGGGGGGACGGAGAAGGCUAUGUUGGCCGGGCGACGGUUGUCCCGGUUUAAGCGUGUAGGCUGGUUUUCCAGGCAAAUCCGGAAAAUCAAGGCUGAGGCGUGAUGACGAGGCACUACGGUGCUGAAGCAACAAAUGCCCUGCUUCCAGGAAAAGCCUCUAAGCAUCAGGUAACAUCAAAUCGUACCCCAAACCGACACAGGUGGUCAGGUAGAGAAUACCAAGGCGCUUGAGAGAACUCGGGUGAAGGAACUAGGCAAAAUGGUGCCGUAACUUCGGGAGAAGGCACGCUGAUAUGUAGGUGAAGUCCCUCGCGGAUGGAGCUGAAAUCAGUCGAAGAUACCAGCUGGCUGCAACUGUUUAUUAAAAACACAGCACUGUGCAAACACGAAAGUGGACGUAUACGGUGUGACGCCUGCCCGGUGCCGGAAGGUUAAUUGAUGGGGUCAGCGCAAGCGAAGCUCUUGAUCGAAGCCCCGGUAAACGGCGGCCGUAACUAUAACGGUCCUAAGGUAGCGAAAUUCCUUGUCGGGUAAGUUCCGACCUGCACGAAUGGCGUAAUGAUGGCCAGGCUGUCUCCACCCGAGACUCAGUGAAAUUGAACUCGCUGUGAAGAUGCAGUGUACCCGCGGCAAGACGGAAAGACCCCGUGAACCUUUACUAUAGCUUGACACUGAACAUUGAGCCUUGAUGUGUAGGAUAGGUGGGAGGCUUUGAAGUGUGGACGCCAGUCUGCAUGGAGCCGACCUUGAAAUACCACCCUUUAAUGUUUGAUGUUCUAACGUUGGCCCCUGAUCGGGGUUGCGGACAGUGUCUGGUGGGUAGUUUGACUGGGGCGGUCUCCUCCUAAAGAGUAACGGAGGAGCACGAAGGUUGGCUAAUCCUGGUCGGACAUCAGGAGGUUAGUGCAAUGGCAUAAGCCAGCUUGACUGCGAGCGUGACGGCGCGAGCAGGUGCGAAAGCAGGUCAUAGUGAUCCGGUGGUUCUGAAUGGAAGGGCCAUCGCUCAACGGAUAAAAGGUACUCCGGGGAUAACAGGCUGAUACCGCCCAAGAGUUCAUAUCGACGGCGGUGUUUGGCACCUCGAUGUCGGCUCAUCACAUCCUGGGGCUGAAGUAGGUCCCAAGGGUAUGGCUGUUCGCCAUUUAAAGUGGUACGCGAGCUGGGUUUAGAACGUCGUGAGACAGUUCGGUCCCUAUCUGCCGUGGGCGCUGGAGAACUGAGGGGGGCUGCUCCUAGUACGAGAGGACCGGAGUGGACGCAUCACUGGUGUUCGGGUUGUCAUGCCAAUGGCACUGCCCGGUAGCUAAAUGCGGAAGAGAUAAGUGCUGAAAGCAUCUAAGCACGAAACUUGCCCCGAGAUGAGUUCUCCCUGACUCCCUGAGAGUCCUGAAGGAACGUUGAAGACGACGACGUUGAUAGGCCGGGUGUGUAAGCGCAGCGAUGCGUUGAGCUAACCGGUACUAAUGAACCGUGAGGCUUAACCUUACAACGCCGAAGGUGUUU